rnacentral:rRNA from 1 species
UACGUAGGGUGCGAGCGUUGUCCGGAUUUAUUGGGCGUAAAGAGCGUGUAGGCGGCCAAGCAGGUCCGCUGUGAAAACUCGAGGCUCAACCUCGAGAGGUCGGUGGAAACCGUUUGGCUAGAGUCCGGAAGAGGAGAGUGGAAUUCCCGGUGUAGCGGUGAAAUGCGCAGAUAUCGGGAAGAACACCCGUGGCGAAGGCGGCUCUCUGGGACGGUACUGACGCUGAGACGCGAAAGCGUGGGGAGCGAACAGG